rnacentral:lncRNA from 1 species
GCCUUACUCAUUUAAAAGAUCUCCUUCUGCUUCUUCUUCAGUGUUUUGUUCCCCUUUUCAUCCAUCUUUAUUUUUCAUUACUUUUUGGAAUGCAAUUAUGGGAUUUUAUUUAGGAUUUAUUAGCUUGACAUUUUCUUAUACAUCAAACUCAUACUUUAAGAUUUUACUUGAAAUAAUUUGCUUUUAUUAUCAUUUAAAUUUGCUUUUUUAACUAAUAUAUCAUGAAUUCAUAUCAUGGUUCUAAUUAAUCACAAAGUGCAUAUAGCUCUU